GACGAACGCUGGCGGCGCGCUUAACACAUGCAAGUCGAGCGAGAACCAGACCCUUCGGGUCUGGGGACGAGCGGCGAACGGGUGAGUAACACGUGAGUAAUCCACCCUUGGUACCGGGAUAGCUCGGGGAAACUCGAAUUAAUACCGGAUGGCCCAUUAGCCUUUCGAGGCGAAUGGAAAAGGUAGCUUCGGCCUCCGACCAAGGACGAGCUCGCGGCGGAUUAGCUUGUUGGCGGGGUAAUGGCCCACCAAGGCGACGAUCCGUAGCUGGUCUGAGAGGACGAUCAGCCACACUGGGACUGAGACACGGCCCAGACUCCUACGGGAGGCAGCAGUGGGGAAUCUUGCGCAAUGGGCGGAAAGCCUGACGCAGCGACGCCGCGUGAGGGAA
rnacentral:rRNA from 1 species